rnacentral:rRNA from 1 species
CCUACGGGAGGCAGCAGUGAGGAAUAUUGGUCAAUGGGCGAAAGCCUGAACCAGCCAAGUCGCGUGAGGGAAUACGGUCCUAUGGGUUGUAAACCUCUUUUGCCGGGGAGCAAAAAUCGGUACGCGUACCGCCUCGGGAGUAACCGGGAAAAAAGCAUCGGCUAACUCCGUGCCAGCAGCCGCGGUAAUACGGAGGAUGCGAGCGUUAUCCGGAUUUCUUGGGUUUAAAGGGGUCCCAGGCGGCGCGUUAAGUCAGCGGUAAAAUUUCGGGGCUCAACCCCGACAAGCCGUUGAAACUGGCUGCCUAGAGUGGGCGAGAAGUAUGCGGAAUGCGUGGUGUAGCGGUGAAAUGCAUAGAUAUCACGCAGAACUCCGAUUGCGAAGGCAGCAUACCGGCGCCCAACUGACGCUCAGGCACGAAAGUGUGGGUAUCGAACAGGAUUAGAUACCCGUGUAGUC